UACAGAGGGUGCUAGCGUUGUUCGGAAUCAUUGGGCGUAAAGGGCGUGUAGGCGGUUUGUUAAGUCAUGUGUGAAAUCCCUCGGCUCAACCGGGGAACGACGCAUGAAACUGGCAAGCUAGAGUACCAAAGAGGGGGGUGGAAUUCCAGGUGUAGCGGUGAAAUGCGUAGAUAUCUGGAGGAACAUCGGUGGCGAAGGCGGCAUCCUGGACCGGUAUUGACGCUGAGGCGCGAAAGCCAGGGGAGCAAACGGG
rnacentral:rRNA from 1 species